CUUGAAAUCACUACAAAGCAACCUUGACCACGUAUCUAUUAUUCGAAAUCUUUCCCUCUAAGAUGACGUUGUUUUUGGGAAUACAAAUGCAAACCAUAGGACAAGGAUGUUGUAAUCACAAAUCUUUGCUUUGUACGAUCAUCGGGUAUGGUGAUCAUUUCAAAAUCUUUGCUUUGUACCAUCGUCGGGUAAUCACAGGACAAGAUGAUACACAAGAAAUGUGGCAAGAUUCGAUCCAAAAGCCGUCCAACCCUGCCCCUGAGCUGCUGGGUUGGGUGGCAAGGUUAGCAUCCCUUCGUCGCCACUUACCCAAAGGCAAGACAUUGCUUUCUUUGACACUGAGACAAGAACUGCUGAGGUAAUUGGAAGAAUGUCUGCCGAAACCACUCUCAUUCAAGAUUCCAUUGGAGAAAAGAUAUUCACAUGCUUGAGUUAAUCAAGGAUGUCGAUGGUACUUGUUCUCAGAUUCUUCGCCUACAGGAAGGAGAUAAGGAAGCGAAGGUAGUCAAGCAACAAUGUUGAUUUAGAUAGUCACAGAUCUUCCACCCAGAAAUAAGUUUCAAUGAAAGGUUCAUCGGGUAGACACUCCCAGUCGCAUAGCUUUGCUCUUUCUCCUUCUCAUCGAAGUGGGGGUACAUGAGUCUAUAGAGAGAAGAUGUUUGACCUAAGAAGCCAAUAAAGAAUUCUUUGAGACGUUUGACCUACUUAACAAGCCUGAAGUUCCUGUCCUAGUUCUCGGAUACAUUGUUGCGAUUAUACUUAUACAAGGUCUUGUGGUCCCUAUGCUUGGCUUCUUGUUUUACUCAUCAAUAUCUAUGUUCUUUGAACCUCCAGAAAAAACAGUGGAAAGAUUCUAGGUUCGGGACAUUCUACACGACGGUUUGAGUUCAGUUACCCUUGUGGCCUUGAUUGUGCAAAAUUACUUCGUUAGCAUUGCUGCGGGAAAAUGAGUAGAAAGAAUUCAUUCACUAACAUUUGAAAAGGUUGUGCAUCAAGAAAUCAGUUGGUUUGAUGAUCCUGCAAAUUCAAGAUAUUUUUAGCAAGAUAUUUUAAUUAUCAUGUUUUGCAGUUUCUUAUACCGAUCAACUAAGGAAACCAUUCACUUUCCUGUGGUGGAGUUAGUGCAAGGUUGUCUACUGAUUCUUCAACAGUGAAAAGUCUAGCUGGCUUUCACCCUUGGUCCUAUUGCAAGGAUUUCUUCAGAUGAAGUUUCUUAAAGGAUUCAGUGCAGAUCCAAGGUAAAGCGUGAAGGGGCAAGUCAGGUGGCAAAUGAUGCUGUUGGUAGCAUCAGAACCAUAGCAACAUUUGUGCUUAAUCAAAGAUAAUGGACGUGUACAGGAAGAAAUGUCUAGAGCCUGAAAAACAAGGGGUUCACUUGGGGCUUGUGAAUGGUGCAGGAUUUGCUUUCUCUACUCUGGCUCUGUAAUGCAUAAAUGCUACCUUUUUCUAUAUUGGAUCGGUUCUCGUGCAACAUGGGAAAGUAACUUUUCCAGAGGUUUUCAAGGGAUCGGCAUUUCCCUGACUAGUGCCUUCGCCCCUGACACCAAUAAAGCCAAAGAUUCCGCAGCUUCAAUAUUUAAACAUUCUUGAUACUACACCUACCAUUGACUCCAGCAGCAAUGAGGGUAGAAACACUAGAAGCCAUUGUUGGUGAUAACCAACUUCGAAACAUCAGUUUCAAUUACCCAACUAGAUCUCAUUCAAAUUUUCAAAUAUUCUAGUAAUUCAUCUUUUGGGCUGUACAAAUAAACUUUCUUUGAGAAAUGUGAUGUAGUUGCAUUGUUUAGUUGGAGAAAGUGGCAGUGGAAAAUCAGCAGUGAUCAGCCUCUUAGAUGGAGUGGAUAUAGAACUGUUUAGACCAUAAGCUGGUUGAGGUAGCAAAAAAUGGAUUUGGUUGGUCAAGAACCUAUUGUUUUCAAUGAAAGCAUUCCUGCCAACGUAGCUUAUGGCAAAGAGGGAAUUGCUUUGCCUUGCUGCAGAGAGAAUGUGCAGGCAGCUAAAGCAUCCAAUUCAUACCU